CACAAGUGAGACUAGUGUUAUUCAUCUUUAUUAGGUUUAAAGGGUACCUAGACGGCACAUGCGACCCUAAAGGUACAAGUGGGCUAGAGUUUGAUGGGAGAGGUAAAUAUUAGGACCGUUGGUGUAAGGAUGAAAUCUUCUGAUACUAAUGGGAUGUAUAAUGGCGAAGGCAACCCUCUAUGUAUAAACUGACGUUAAGGGACGAAGGCUUGGGGAGCGAAUAGG
rnacentral:rRNA from 1 species